rnacentral:rRNA from 1 species
UACAGAGGUCUCAAGCGUUGUUCGGAUUCAUUGGGCGUAAAGGGUGCGUAGGUGGCGGGGUAAGUCAGGUGUGAAAUCUCGGGGCUCAACCCCGAAACUGCAUUUGAUACUGCCUUGCUCGAGUACUGGAGAGGAGAUUGGAAUUUACGGUGUAGCAGCGAAAUGCGUAGAUAUCGUAAGGAAGACCAGUGGCGAAGGCGAAUCUCUGGUACGUGACUGACGCUGAGACGCGAAAGCGUGGGGAGCAAACAGG